rnacentral:rRNA from 1 species
CCUACGGGAGGCUGCAGUGAGGAAUAUUGGUCAAUGGACGAGAGUCUGAACCAGCCAAGUAGCGUGAGGGAUGACUGCCCUAUGGGUUGUAAACUUCUUUUAUAUGGGAAUAAAAUGUUCCACGUGUGGGAUUUUGUAUGUACCAUAUGAAUAAGGAUCGGCUAACUCCGUGCCAGCAGCCGCGGUAAUACGGAGGAUCCGAGCGUUAUCCGGAUUUAUUGGGUUUAAAGGGAGCGUAGGUGGAUUGUUAAGUCAGUUGUGAAAGUUUGCGGCUCAACCGUAAAAUUGCAGUUGAAACUGGCAGUCGUGAGUACAGUAGAGGUGGGCGGAAUUCGUGGUGUAGCGGUGAAAUGCUUAGAUAUCACGAAGAACUCCGAUUGCGAAGGCAGCUCACUGGACUGCAACUGACACUGAGGCUCGAAAGUGUGGGUAUCAAACAGGAUUAGAUACCCGAGUAGUC